rnacentral:misc_RNA from 1 species
UAUCCAAAGUGCCAUAGACGUGAAAAUAAGCCGUAAUAAGCUCGUUCGUAAGGCGGUGAUCUUAAAGAAAAACACAAUUCACAUUCACCAUUAUAUUUACCCUCAAUAACCCAAUAAAUAGGCUUGAAUUGCGUAGCUGUCCAUAUUUGCUUGUGCAGAUGCGUUGCUAUCUCAACGGGGGCUUUAAAAUACACAUAGGGGGCUUCAAUGUGACCAAGUAAGUGCCCAUGACAAG